GCCGGUGUGGCUCAGUGGAUAGAGCGUGAGCCUGCAGACUGAAAGGUCCCGGUUCGAUUCCGGGCAAGGGCA
rnacentral:tRNA from 1 species